AAAUGUGCGUUAUUGGGGUGUAAUUGCGAUUGCUAGCAGUUUUGAGUAGGAUGGCAGCAUAGUUGUAUAUAUCCAAGGCUGAUACAGAAUUUGGUAGGACUUGUUAUGUUAUCUAUCAAUGGGAGACAAGUUGCUGGACAUCAAGCUCAGGGGUUAUGCCUGCUAUGAAAGGCUACCAGCAAUUGAGCCGCAUCCCAGUCUGUCUGUGUGUCUUGUCUUGUCUUUUUCUUCCUUCCUUCCUUCCUUCCUUCCUUCCUUCCUUCCUUCCUUCCUUCCUUCCUUCCUUCCUUCCUUCCUCUCUCUCUCUCUCUCUCUCUCUCUCUCUCUCUCUCUCUCUCUUUUUUUUUUCUUUUGGUUUUUUGAGACAGGGUUUUUCUGUGUAGCCCUGGCUGUCCUGGAACUCACUUUGUAGAACAGGCUGACCUCGAACUCAGAAAUCUGCCUGCCUCUGCCUCCUUAGUGCUGGGAUUAAAGGGCGCCACCACCGCCCGGCUAUCCCUGUCUUUCUUGAUUGCGAGAUUUAGAACAUGGGCUUAAUGAAGAAGUUGCUUAGUGAGAUAAGGUACAAGUUAUAUUUUUAAAAUUAAAUUUAUAAAACUACAUAAUACUUUUGAAAUCAUUUAAUGUUCAAAUAUUUUUAUUCCUUAUAUCUCAUUUAAAGAAGUAUCACACAGAAAAGCUUAAAAUUAUACAUGAGAUUGCUAUAAUAGAGUGUAUGAGCUGUAGCAAUUUCAAUAAAACAGAUGCUUGAAAAAUUAUGUAAUGACUGACCUUACUAAUUGUCAUAAACUUCACAUGUCACUUGUAAUAGGGCAAAAACUGCCUCUAUUAAGUGUUUUAUAGAAACCUGCUUUAUUGCAUUUUAGUUACAGGAAUAAUUCUUUUGUUGGGAUACAACCUCCACUUUGUCCUCUGGAAGAGUAGAGACCUUGUUAGAUGUUCAGGAUAAGAAGAAAGAUACGAGAUAUAUAAACUGUAUUGUGAAAGCUCUGUUUUAGAUUGAAAGCUGCCUGGAAAUAGGUACUACAGUUUUGUUUUUUCAACUUAUAAGCUUAUUAAAAAUUCACGAAAAGGAGUGUACAAGACACACAUCUAUCUAGGAUCCUUUUUUUUCUUCCUGGGACACAUUCAAGAGAGAGCAGUGGGUUCUGAAGUGCCAUUUGGUUUUGCAUUGCCUUUAUUUUUGGUCUAGCCGCACUGUUGCCCAGACUUGUCUUGAACUCAUGGACUGAAGCCAUCACUCUGCCUCAGCCUCUUAGGUGCAUACAUGGUCACCUGGCGCUUCUUACCGUCUCUGCUACAAGAGUACUUGCACAUAUAAUUUAUAUUGUUACAGUAAGGCAUUAAUGCAGUCAGACCUGUUGCUAAGGGUCAGGGUUCCAGAAUCUUACUUGUGCUAAAUUAAUGUGUGUUGGUUGGUUAGCUGGCUGGCUGGCUGUUGUUGAAUUUGUAUCAACCUUAGUGCUGAAAUUACAAAUGUGUCAUCACAUCGACUUAACCUAAUAUAAUUGUUUUUGCCCAGUUAGACUAUUCAUUUUCCAAAGUCCACUUAAGGACUUUGUUGUGUAUGGUUCUAGGUAGCUUGCCACAGUAUCCCUCCCUCCAGAUUCUAGUCAUGAGGGAGCUUCCUGCUGGUUGUUGCUGCACUGCAUAUCAGUUUCUUUUGACAGAAGAGGUCUACAGCUUUUUACAAUACUUUGAUAAUUUGAACUAUAUUUGCAUCCCUACAUUUUACAGGUGUGUUUGCUACAGACCCUUUGUCAGUUUCAGCAUCAAUUGUUUUUCUAAAAAGUGUAGUCUUAGUUUAAUGAACUUGAAUUUGUAAGAUUUAUAUAAUGUAUAUAUAUCCUUUGAAUCUUUGAUUUACUGUCUUCUAUUGAUUAUAUCUAUUCUUAUUAGUCCCUCUGGACCCUUUUCUUAUCAUGGCCACCUCCCAACUUUAUCUCCUCCUCAAAGUAGUUUUUAUAAGAAUUUGUGUAUGAAAAAGAGGCAGAGAAGAUAUAAAUAUGCCAUGUGUACCCACAGAGGCAUUGGAUCUUCCUACUUACGGGCAUUGUGAGCCACCUGAUGAGGCUACUGGGAAUAGAACUUGUGUUCUCUGGAAGAGUGGCAAAUGCCAUGGAAUCUUCUCCAGCCCCCUUUCCUUUUUUUUUUUUUUUCUUUUCUCCUCUUGCCUAUGGCUUUGUUUUUGUUGUGGGGGAGUGGGGAUCUUUAUCUUUACUUUUGUAAAGUGUUUAUAAAAACCCAUCAGCAUUUUUCCUACUCUUGCUUCCCUCUUUAAAACUUAAUAAAUUUUUUGAGAAUU
rnacentral:lncRNA from 1 species